AAUUGUUAGACUCUCUAAACUCCAUGCUGACCCCUUUCCAAGUAUAUUUCAGUUUAUGGGAAUGUGGGACCGACCAACCUCCCAAUCCAAAUUCUCCAAAUAUCACUGUUCCUCCUCAUGGAUUCUCACAUUUGGAGAGUACUCAGUGGAUACAGUAGCCAGGCAUCCAAACAAGCCAAUAAAUGAACUACAAGUCUUCACUAGUUCCGACCAAGGAGAAGUCCUCUUAAAUGAAAAAUCUUCCCAUAAUUUCACUAUUUACAUGCAAGCCCACUUGGUCAUCAUUUCUGGAUACAUACCACCCUCUAAUUUGAAUUCAAGGGGGCCAUGUCCAGGAAAUGAUGCAACCAGUUUUUAUCUCAUUUCCUUUCUGAAACAUGCUCAUCCCUAACUCUAUCCCUCGCAAUUCUACCCCAUAUUAACCACAACAUUUCAUCUUCCAUCGACAUCACACAUGUGUUGGACUCUAAGAGCUCUUGUUCAAAGACUCAUUCCGAUGAGAUUCGCUUUCCGGGAGUCGAUAAAUGGAAUCCUC
rnacentral:lncRNA from 1 species